UGGGAAAUAUUGGACAAUGGGGACAACCCUGAUCCAGCCACGCCGCGUGAGUGAUGAAGGCCUUCGGGUCGUAAAGCUCUGUGGGGAGGGACGAACGUCCCGUUGAAGAAACGGGGGUGACGGUACCUCCUUAGCAAGCACCGGCUAACUUCGUGCCAGCAGCCGCGGUAAUACGAAGGGUGCAAACGUUGCUCGGAAUCAUUGGGCGUAAAGCGCACGUAGGCGGCGCUGUAAGUCGGACGUGAAAUCCCUCGGCUCAACCGAGGACGUGCAUCCGAAACUACAGUGCUCGAGUAUGGAAGAGGGUCGCGGAAUUCUCGGUGUAGAGGUGAAAUUCGUAGAUAUCGGGAGGAACACCAGUGGCGAAGGCGGCGACCUGGGCCAAUACUGACGCUGAGGUGCGAAAGCGUGGGGAGCAAACAG
rnacentral:rRNA from 1 species